GAUCAUGGGCUCAGGAUGAACGCUAGCGGCAGGCCUAACACAUGCAAGUCGAGGGAGAAGCCCUUUCGGGGGCAGAAACCGGCGCACGGGUGCGUAACGCGUAUGCAACCUACCUUUCACAGGGGAUAGCCCGAAGAAAUUUGGAUUAAUACCCCAUAAUAUUAUUGGAUGGCAUCAUUUGAUAAUUAAAACUGCGGUGGUGAAAGAUGGGCAUGCGUCCUAUUAGCUAGUUGGAGUGGUAACGGC
rnacentral:rRNA from 1 species